rnacentral:rRNA from 1 species
UACAGGGGGGGCAAGCGUUGUUCGGAAUUACUGGGCGUAAAGGGCUCGUAGGCGGCCAACUAAGUCACACGUGAAAUCCCCAGGCUUAACCUGGGAACUGCGUGUGAUACUGGAUGGCUUGAAUUCGGGAGAGGGAUGCAGAAUUCCAGGUGUAGCGGUGAAAUGCGUAGAUACAAUCAAGAACACCGAUUGCGUAGGCAGCUUACUAGGCUGUAACUGACGCUGAGGCACGAAAGCGUGGGGAGCGAACAGG